GAGACCUGGUCUUAAGGAAGGCGAAAGUCUCGAAGCCCCUGGACCGGGGGAAGUUGUCCCCGAACUGAGAAGGACCCUACAAGGUAGCGGACACCUACGGGCUGAGAGAUUACCGACUGGAGACCCUAGAAGGAACGGCCAUCCCCCAGACUUGGAAUACCGACAAUCUUAGAUUGUACUACCAGUGAACUUUGUAUCCCCUCGUUCGGAACACAAAUUCAGUUUCAAAAUUUCGGAGUUCGGAAUCUCGACUCUUCGACUGAGG
rnacentral:lncRNA from 1 species